AGGAUAAACGCUGGCGGCGUGCCUAAUCAAUGCGAGUCGAACGGGCCCUUUCGGGGGUCAGUGGCGUCCGGGUGAGUAACGCGUAGCUAACCUACCUGCAGAUGGGGGAUACCCGCCAGAAAUGGUGGCUAAUACCGCAUAGCCUGACCCAGUGCAAACGGGGGCAGGAAAGCCGUAAGGCGUCUGCAGAGGGGGCUGCGUCCGAUUAGCUAGUCGGUGGGGUAACGGCCUACCGAGGCGACGAUCGGUAGCUGGU
rnacentral:rRNA from 1 species